rnacentral:rRNA from 1 species
CAGGUUUACCUGUGUGACUGCGUACCUUUUGUAUAAUGGGUCAGCGACUUAUAUUCUGUAGCAAGGUUAACCGAAUAGGGGAGCCGGAGGGAAACCGAGUCUUAAUUGGGCGUUAAGUUGCAGGGUAUAGACCCGAAACCCGGUGAUCUAGCCAUGGGCAGGUUGAAGGUUGGGUAACACUAACUGGAGGACCGAACCGACUAAUGUUGAAAAAUUAGCGGAUGACCUGUGGCUGGGGGUGAAAGGCCAAUCAAACCGGGAGAUAGCUGGUUCUCCCCGAAAGCUAUUUAGGUAGCGCCUCGUGAAUUCAUCUCCGGGGGUAGAGCACUGUUUCGGCUAGGGGGCCAUCCCGGCUUACCAACCCGAUGCAAACUGCGAAUACCGGAGAAUGUUAUCACGGGAGACACACGGCGGGUGCUAACGUCCGUCGUGAAGAGGGAAACAACCCAGACCGCCAGCUAAGGUCCCAAAGUCAUGGUUAAGUGGGAAACGAUGUGGGAAGGCCCAGACAGCCAGGAUGUUGGCUUAGAAGCAGCCAUCAUUUAAAGAAAGCGUAAUAGCUCACUGGUCGAGUCGGCCUGCGCGGAAGAUGUAACGGGGCUAAACCAUGCACCGAAGCUGCGGCAGCGACACUCAGGUGUUGUUGGGUAGGGGAGCGUUCUGUAAGCCUGCGAAGGUGGCCUGUGAGGGUUGCUGGAGGUAUCAGAAGUGCGAAUGCUGACAUAAGUAACGAUAAAGCGGGUGAAAAGCCCGCUCGCCGGAAGACCAAGGGUUCCUGUCCAACGUUAAUCGGGGCAGGGUGAGUCGACCCCUAAGGCGAGGCCGAAAGGCGUAGUCGA